rnacentral:rRNA from 1 species
GUAGGGAAUAUUGGGCAAUGGAGGCAACUCUGACCCAGCCAUGCCGCGUGCAGGAUGACGGCCCUCUGGGUUGUAAACUGCUUUUAUACGGGAAGAAAAAAUACUACGUGUAGUAUACUGACGGUACCGUAAGAAUAAGGAUCGGCUAACUCCGUGCCAGCAGCCGCGGUAAUACGGAGGAUCCAAGCGUUGUCCGGAUUUAUUGGGUUUAAAGGGUGCGUAGGCGGAUCUUUAAGUCAGUGGUGAAAGCCUGUAGCUUAACUGUAGAAUUGCCAUUGAAACUGAAGAUCUUGAAUGUGGUUAAAGUAGGCGGAAUGUAUCAUGUAGCGGUGAAAUGCUUAGAUAUGAGACAGAACACCGAUAGCGAAGGCAGCUUGCUGAACCAUUAUUGACGCUGAGGCACGAAAGCGUGGGGAGCGAACAGGAUUAGAAACCCUUGUAGUCC